AUUGAACGCUGGCGGCAGGCCUAACACAUGCAAGUCGAGCGAGCGGCGGACGGGUGAGUAAUGUCUGGGAAACUGCCUGAUGGAGGGGGAUAACUACUGGAAACGGUAGCUAAUACCGCAUACCAUCAGAUGUGCCCAGAUGGGAUUAGCUGGUAGGUGGGGUAAUGACUCACCAAGGCGACGAUCCCUAGCUGGUCUGAGAGGAUGACCAGCCACACAGGAACUGAGCCACGGUCCAGACGCCUACGGGAGGCAGCAGUGGGGAAUAUUGCACAAUGGGCGCAAGCCUGAUACAGCCAUGCCGCGUGUGUGAAGAAGGCCUUCGGGUUGUAAAGCACUUUCAGCGGGGAGGCGUUACUCGCAGAAGAAGCACCGGCUAACUCCGUGCCAGCCGCCGCGGUAAUUC
rnacentral:rRNA from 1 species